rnacentral:lncRNA from 1 species
UCCUCCAUCGACACAGGAGGCUGUUCAUCUGAACACUGCUUAUUUUGUCAGCUGUUGGGUGUAGCAAUGGAAUAAAUCUGGAUGCUCUUGCUACCUGAAACAGCCUGUGAUCUGUCACUGGUAUAAGGUACACGUGACACCGUAGUACUUUUUCAUAAGCCAAAGGGGUCAGUCUAGAACACUGGUGGUGGAUCAGACAACUUGGUCAUGAGUGACUUUGAGUGGAUUGUAUCAGUAGCACCACAGCCAUUCUCUUUUUGUUGUUAUAAAAACAAAUGAUUAAAGAGGAAAAGAUUGCAAGAGUCAAAAGGAGACAGGGAUGCUUUGCCUGCAAAAAAUGUGUUGUAAUUCGGCAUAGUUUAUCUCACCCUCCAUCCAACUGAGGCUAGGACUUGUUGAAACUAUGUGGUAUAGAAGAGAACUGAAUCGUACUACCAGUAGCUUCACACAUAUGAAGCCACUGGAUGGCUCAGACCUGAGACACACUAAGAAGCUGGGCUUCUAUUUGUGCCUAGACAAGGAACCAGUAACUAGGAAUGUCAGAGCUUUCUCAUCAGUCCUCAUCUUGGCAUGGAUGCUUGCUAUGAAUGCUUCUCAUCUAAGUUCUCUAGAAGACCUCUCCUCCUCCCAGAGGGGAGGAGUUGUGUGCGGGAACUGACUCCCGCAUCAGCAGAGUUUAGCCGUGCUUAAACGGCCGCCACAGCGCUGGAGCCCCAUUCUGCUUCCUGCUUCCUUCGGAUCAACCACCCUCCCUCCCAUUAGGUCAAUUCUGUGUUUUUUGACCUUGCUAUGGACUUUGGUUGGUUGCCUUGGUUGCCCAGGGGGCCUGGUAGGAAUUCUAUCCAUUUGGCAAAUUGGCACCAGCCUCUUGGUUUUCGCCUACCUCAAAGCAAAUCGUCACAACUUAUCAGGUAUUGGCAGUUAGGCAUUGGAAUAUGUGCAGUGUGUUGGAGGGCAGGUUGUGGCCAUCGCCUACUCCUCCCCUUGUUUGGGUAUUCCGUUAAAGGAAUCUGGCGGUCGUGGAUCCUGUCCGAUGCCCUGCUGGCUAGGGCCAUGGCACGACCCCCGGUGAGGUCUGGGGAAGCUUUCAGUUGUAUUUGCAUCAACAAGCUUCUCCCAUUGGCUGUUAACCCUCAAUUGACACCCCCCCCGCUCUGUGGGGUGGAGUCAUGUAUAGUUUGUUUGAUCCAAUGCCUAAGCCAAUACCUCUCACAUGCUGUAACCAAUAAAGUUGUGCCCUUAUUUAGCCCAUUAACACUAAAUACAUGUGUCCUUGUGUCUUUCUUAUCUCCAUGCGGGUGGCGGGUCCUUGACACACAAUGAUUUUUUAAAAAACAUGUGCACAUUAUAUGUGAAUUGGUUUCCUUCUACUGCUGAGAUCCAUCCCUUUCCUUAUGCCUCUGCAAGAGGAGGUGUUUGUAGUGUCCGACUCACACAUGCAAUUAAUGUUGUUGUUAGCAAGAGAUGAACAUUUGUGUGUGAACUAGCACUCUUUCUUCUAGGUUCAUACAUUUCCUCAAGUCAAUAUCUAGUUGGUUGUCAUUUUGCUUGUCUUUCUUAAUAUGGAGAACUUCUGUGGUCUUUGAUUGAGACAAAGUGUUAGGGAUGUUGGGCAUGAACAAUCCCACAAAAGAUUUUAAUACUUUUAAAAGAGAAUUGAUGGUGAUAUGGUGGUGGCAAAGUUGCCCAUAGUGUACACUCUCGCUUGUCAAACACACUUUGCAAGUCUUUGAAACACUGGAAAAAGGCUGAAAACCACAAAUAAUGGAGAUGAGAGCAGGAUGAGUUUGCACAUCACAAGCAUACCACUUCCACCGGCUCCAUAAUUAGUUUUUCUCCCCUCCCCCUUGAUUUCACAGUGAAUUCUCGGGGGGGGGGGGUUCUGCAGUGUUCCAGAGGAAGUUCAGCAAGGUUACCUGACCCAGAGCAGCUCUCUUUUCCAAAGACAGUGAGGGCCACCAACAAGAAGGAUUCACAUAGAAUGCUUUCACAAGUAUCCAAGACCUCAUUGCUAGAGCUUAGAAGCUGGAAAUUUAUUCCAAGCAUGCUCAGAAAUGCUGCAGGGGAGCCUGGGAAACAGCUCACAAAAUAUUUCUAGGAGAUGUUGGGGAGUCGAUUUCACAGGCCGUUCAGAUCUAAAUUUCACUUCCAUCACUACCUCCAACACUCCAUUAUCAUCUCUUUCCAGCCAAGUUGGAAUAAAUGUUCUCUUUCAGCUCUAUUAUGUACAAAUUUUAUGGCAUGGGUGCACAAACAGAGGGGAAAGGAUCUGCCAAAUCUUUCCCCAUUUUUUUCCAUCAGCAAAACCCGCAGCAUUACAGGGUGGAACGUUUGCCUUAUGGCAGCAGCCUCCCAGCUGCCAUAAGUGGUUGAUUUUCCUGUUCCAACUAGCAAUGAGCCCACAAGUGCUAAUUUUACACAGCAUGUGAACUUGAUACAUUGAACUCUGGCUUGCUCUGGACAUACGUUCUCCCCUGUUUCCCUCCAACAUUACUAAAAUACAGGUGCUUGAGUAUUGUGCACUUUAAAGGGCUUUAGGGAAAAGAAGCAAUUGAAUUGUAAAUGGAAGCUGACAGAGAUUGUUAUGCUUUUAUAGCCAAAUGUAAUGAAUAAUUCUGGCUAUAAAAGGGGGAACAAUUAACUAUUUACUACCUACCAGCAAUGCUGAGACCUCAAGUCCAUUUAAUAUUUGACCAGAUGAAAAACUUUACCUAACCCACACAUAAAGGUAUUCGGAGGGGAGACCUCCCCAAAUGGGGAGUUUAAUUUCUUUAUAUUGUUAUAAUGCCACAUUAGGCUGUGGUGGUAACAGUUGUACAGAAACCAAGAUGUAUGCCAAUGAAGGGACAAAAAAAGCACUGACUUCUGGCUGUUGUUUAUGGCUGUUGCACUGCUCAGGGGUUAAAUUGUGUGCAUGUGUUUGUGUGUGUGAAUGUAUAGGCUGGAUGGCAUUCACUCUUCAAUUGUUUGUGAUUCCCUUAAACAGUGGGAAACACACUUGUAAAGGGACUGCUUUGAUGGUACCUGCUACAGGUGUGCUUCACAUUUCAGCUUGCGCUGCUGCUGUAGUUGUUUUAUGUGGUGUCUUACAGAGCUUCAAAAUAGAUACCUCCUUGCCCCCAUAUACUACAAAAUCUAACAUAUUUGUCAUUAUUCAAUGCACUGUUUACUGUUAGUGUCCUCAGAGAUUUUUAUUCUUAUUUUUACAAAUGAAGUACUAAUGGAAUAUCGUAGGGAUGAGUAUUUUGUAACCUUUAUUAAUGAAUUUGAAAUGUUAACAGAAAGCCAGCAUAAAGGAAAAGAAUGAAAAGUAUCCAGGAAUUUGAACUAUAAAUAUUUUUUCAACCUAUAAAUCCUCAGUAUUUUAACAUCAGAAUUAGCUGCCGCUGAAACUUCAAUUGAAAUAAAGCACAUUUCUUAAUGUUCGUAGAAUGUAAUGAAGCUCUAAUUGGCAGUCUCCAAUGAAAUACAUAUUGGAUUUCAUUCCUAUUAGCAGCAGUUUUAAGAACUAUGCUCCUUGGAAUAUAACUGCUGAGUAACAAAUGUAACUUUCAAUAUAGAAAAAGAAUAAAAUAUUACUAUUUUUUUAAAAAGAAAUUUGGGGUGAGCAGGACCACUGUGUGUAAUUCUGAGACAUUUCAAAGGGCACACACCAUACAGAAUAUUUACCCUAUAUUGGCUUCACUACUAAGCUGUUAAACAGUGAAACACUGAUUGUUGGGACUGGUUGAUUAGAGUUGGAAUAUGAAACAACUGGCUCUAGGCACACGGCAAAAGCAUCGCAGCUACUGGAAAUUCAGUGACAAUAAGUUCAAAAAUACUGGUACCUUUAGAAAUAUUUUAAAAACCCUAACCACAGCCUAAGCAGUGUUACUUCAUGUGCUCUGGUGAUACUAUACACGCAUUUCUCUUUCCUUACUUCAACAAGUGUCAAAAGUUCAUAUUAAAUACUACAUAAUUUAUCAUAUAAUUAAAUGCCACUACGGUUUUUUGUUGGGGAGAGCAUAAACCUGAUUCUCCUUAGAGAGCUCUGUGCAGAAAUAUGAUGUGGAAAUUAUUGUAUGAAUACAGGUCAAGGAUCAAAGUACUAAAGGGUUUAUUUUUUCAUAAGAGGAACAGAAUUAGGAAUCUUGGCUUUCCUUAAUUAAAUCAUUUUUUAUCCGAAUCCUAAUCAAAAUGGGAAAGCUGAGAGUCCAAAGAGACUUAGACUGCUAACUCUGAAGCAAUCACAUUAAAUAAUGGACUUUUAUUCUACAGAGUGGAGUAUUUGAAGUUUUGCUACUUUUAACACUGCGCAGUAUAUCAUGCUGCAAUCUUUCGUUGAGCUUUGACCACCUAGCCAAACAGGACACAUUUAUUUGUUUCAAUUUGCAUUAAGUAGUUUGUUCCAGGCUGAUGCCCACAUCAAAUCCUCCACAAACACUUCAAAAUAUUCCCCCAAUUUUACUCUGCUUAGUUUCCCUGAAAAUCAGAAUCCAUUACCACCACAGUCGCAUCAUGGCCACGGCAGGUAAAGGGAGGGCCACAAGAACGGACACAGGAGACUGGUAUUGGGUUGAAUUAGGCCACAACUUUAUUGAUUACAGGAAAUAGUAGCUAAGGCAUUAGGCAAGGAUCCAACAUGAGGCAGCUCGCCUGCUACCCGAUAAAAACCUGGUAGGGAAGACGCUGUGCAUGUAAAAAAAGGAAAAAGGGAAGGAAGCUUUAUUUUGCAAAGGGUUCACAAUGGAAACUUAGAGCCAACUUUUCCCCAUCCUUUAUUAUUUACAAAGUGAACUUAAUAAUGCUAAGAGGACUUGGAAUUUAAUUUAAUUGGAAGUAUAAUUGCUCAUAUAUCUUCAGUUGGAAGGAAGGAUGAAAGGAAUCUGUGAACUGCUAAGGAACUGAUAAGGUUCUUUAUUGAGUCUUCUGCAGUUCAACAGACCACUCUUCUUCCCAGGCUGAGAGGAAAAAUAGUGAAAACAGGUUAUUUAGUGGGACAGAGUGACUUUUGCAGUUGUUGUUAAAGUUGCAAAACAAUGAAGCACAGGAUGGAGGCAUGAUGGAUAACAGCAACAAUUGGGGGGAAGAAAGACGUAACAUCUUACAAGCACUGGAAGAAACACCACAGACAGAAUAAUUGCUACACCCAGGAAGAACAAGGAUAUAGUUUGAGUUUCUCACUUGCAGAUUUAUAAAUCAUUUAAUGUGUCAACACGAAUAGAAGUUAUUAAUAUUGCAGUUGUUGUAUAAGGGAUUAUUAUUAUGACCGGAAUGUACUGGAAAUUAAUAAGAUUUUGGAAUGCAGAAAUAAAGAAAAUCAUCAAACCAUCAAAUCUAGCACGCGGGGGGGGGGGCACUUUAUCUAAAUUAUAUAAUUUGGUAUUUGAACUAUUGGUAUUAAUAAUUGUAUUAUAAAUUGGUAUUGUUAUAAUGAGGUUAUUAUUGGACUGUAAUUGAAAAAAAUACAAAAGAAGAAAAUGAAUGGAGGCCCAUGAAUCAGUCCCUUGAUGAGGGUUCUCGACCAGCUCAUACCUGCUGCAAGGGGCAUUUAUUAACUGAAAUGCGUAUCUGAUGGAUCCCUCAUGCUGGAAUUUGCACAGCUGCUGGAAGCAUUGCCUGCCACUGUCAAAUUCCUAGCAUACAGGGAGCAAUUGAAAGCACAUCAAAGAGAGGGGCAGCUCACCAGCAAUGAAAGUGGAAUAAAAACUGAAAAGACUGGCUAAGCUCUGAUCUGGUUUGGGCUGCUUUGCAUCUAGUUUCACCCAGAAUGUUUCCUUAAAGAAUAUAAAAUGCCACUUUGCCACUUUGCCUGUCACUAUUGCUUUCUGCAAUAGACCAAAGAGGUCUGAUGAUUGCAGUUGAUAUUGAGUCAUCUAGCACCUGGGGGUGGAAGUGGAGAAACACAUAUCAUGGAGAACUCAAAUCAGAGAUAGCUGAUCAUCUGGGGCAAAUUUGAAGAAGUAAUCAGAGUUAUUUGGAGUAUGAAGUGCACAUGAAAUAGCUUGAAAUAAAGAAGGAGGGGUGUUUUUUUUUGGGGGGGGGAGUUAAGUAGUAUGCAAUAAAUCAAGGUGGUCCCAUGGUUUGGGAGUUUGUGAUGUGGGAGCACCAAAGGUUAACACAGCCACAAAGUUAUAAUUCCAAGGGGAUUUUUUAACAUAUGAAAAUAAUAGACCACAUGAGAGCUUUUUAGAUGACUCCUGAAUAGAUGUAACCAAUAACACCUCAAGUCGAACCUGGUGUGUGGGAGAAAGCCCCUUUCUACCAGAAACAUGAUGUUCCGUGUAUCAGAGUACUGUAGAUCUAUUAAGCUGAAAAGGAAAGAGCCAUGGUAAAGGUGCAGAACAGAAAUAGUUAAAACAGAAAUUAAUGUCAGAGAAGGAUCUGUCGUGGUGAGCUAUGAGUUGAACAGACAGAUGCCAGAACAAUUAAAAAAAAUCCCAUUCUUUAAGCAAAAGCAGUUUGAAUUUGUGAGUCAAGGAAACAUAUUGCAGCAAGUAUGAUGAUAAGGCAGAACAGCCUACUCCUAGUUUGGUCUGGUAACUCUUAAACUGUCAACAAAGACCAGUGGAAGUGAAAUGUUUGACAGGGAGCUGCAUCACUCACGUCUGAAAGAAAUUACGCCCAAAGUUAUUACUUCAUUUGCAUCUGAAGUCAUCUGCAUGUGACGUGCAUCCAUGAAUCACUGAGAGGAUCUUGUAGGCUUUGGAAAGUAAAUCUGUAGCAUCUCUAAAGAAGCCAAAUGUCUUGCAAGACAAAGAGGCUUUGGGAGAGUGAGGCGUUGGAUUUAAUGGAGUCAUCCAAUUUUUAUGGGCAAGAGAAUCCCACAACCCGGGUGCUGCUACAAAAAUAUGUCCUGCCAACUGGACAUAUGGUCACAACUUUUAAUUCAUUCAUUUUAAACAGAGCUGAUCUGUUUGUACAAUGCAAUGUGAUGCAUAUUUGGUCCUUAGAAAUACUUAUGAAAAUUUGGCAACAUUUUAGUGUGAAUUUGUUCUUGUUGCUGUUGUUAUAUGUUUAUUUAUACCCUGCCCUUUUCCCUAAUGGGACUUAAUACAGCUUACAGAUAAAAGCAACAGCUGCU